rnacentral:rRNA from 1 species
UUUUUUAAUUGAAAGCUUGUAUGAAUGGUUGAAUGAAAUAUAUACUGUUUCAAAUAAAUUUUAUUAGAAUUUUAUUUUUUAGUUAAAAAGCUAAAAUAUGUUUAUAGGACGAGAAGACCCUAUAAAGUUUAAUAAUUUUUUUAGAAUAGUUUUUUUAGGAUAAUUAGAAUUUUUUUAAAAAAAUUAUUUUAUUGGGGAGAUAAUAAAAUUUAAAAAACUUUUAUAAUAUAAAACAUAAAUUAAUGAAUUGAUGAUCCAGUAUUAUUGAUUAUAAAUUUAAAUUACUUUAGGGAUAACAGCGUAAUUUUUUUUUUAAGUUCAUAUUUAUAAAAAAGUUUGC